rnacentral:lncRNA from 1 species
CGGUCAGGGAGGUUCAAACGAGAAGGCCUUGUCUGGCCCCAGGAAGCACCCAGGUGCCUCCUCCCUCCAUUUCCCCAUCUCCAGCGGGGCGCUGCCAGGGCGGGCUCCAGGCCUGCCCCAUGCCCCUGCGCACGAGCCUUGAGGCAGGUGGGGUUCCAGCGCGCAGAAGCAGCCCUCAACUGCUCCGAGUGUCUGUUGCUGGCGGUUCAUGGCGGGGAGACGCGCAGCGCGAGAGCAAAGGGCGGUUACCCAAUGGCCUUCGCUCUCAUGGCGUCCUUCUUGGUGUUACCUAAAAAUGAAGCCAAGUGUGAUUAGAAGAAGCUUGAGGAAAACCUCAGCAGUUGAAACCGUGAUGCAGUUCAGCGAAGAAGUAGUUCCUGUCCUCGUAAAAUCAGUGAAAUUCUCACGGAUGACCUCACUGAGACUGAAACCUCAGACACAGGGAGCUGGCCUAUUCACCUUAGAAUCCUCUGGGGUACCCACUACAGUGUCUGCAGCAAGGAGUCAAUAA